rnacentral:sRNA from 1 species
CUCUCUUUUCUCCCUCUUCUUCUGCAUAUUUUAUUUUGCCCAUCUCCCUCUGACCUAUGUUAUGCUAUCUUGGACGUCACCAGGAUAGACAGCGAUCAUCGACGGUUCGUUUGGUUCCUUCCUUCCUUUGUUUCUAGCUAGAUCAAUCUGGAUUCCUCUGCGACGUAGAAUAAUUUAUCAAGUGGCAUUAGUUUUUCCCUUGAAAAAUUUGUACUUCAUAUACAUGUUUCAUGUUUUGUAACAGUAUGAACAUAUGGUUUUUAGCCCGUGAUAAGUAUAUACUUAUUUCAAGUAGAAUGUACUGUAAAAAUCCUCUAAAAAUUAUGUUUGUUUCACUAGUCAAUAUAAGGGAGAGUUUGGGGUUUGUCCCAUCACCAUAUAUUUUUUUAUUUUGUUGAAUAAAUUUAUGGAUGUGUAGAAACCAGAAGUAUAAAUUAUUUUUAUUAUCUAAAAAUUUAAUGCAUAAUUAUAUCCAGGAACAAGGAAGGGAGAAUGUGUGCAUGUACGUCCUUUAUGUAAUCGAGAAAAUCGCAAGCGAAUGAAAAGCUUUUGAGAAAACUAAAGAAAAGCAGAGGAUUUCUCUAAAGUGUCUGACCGAUAUAAAGCUACCAAAGUUCACAUUUGUCAACAUUUCAGGAAUUUCAGAGAUUCCGGUCCAGAGUUUCAAACAAGAUUUCAUCCUUGGAAACUGGAAGGAGGAUUGUGAUCGAAAUUACGCUGAAAAAUGAAAGGAUAGAUGCACCAUAUGUCAAAGAAGACAGGAGCUACCGAUCAUCGGAUCAGAGUAGCUAGUAUGAUCAAAGCGAGACGCCGGAUUCAGACAAGAUAUCACAACGGCCUCUCCGGCCGCCGGCCACCAUAAUGCCAUUGACGUCGAUCCCCAUCCAAUCAUAGAACCCACCGGCGGCGGCCGGUCUUCGCCGGAGUUCGCAGUGACAACUCGGCGAGGCUAGCUUUGCUUAGAACAGAAACACACAAGGUAGGAGAAAGGCGAACUACACUGUUCGUCGACAAGCAAUGGCAAUUUGGCAUCGCAUCAGCUGGGUCGCGUGGAGGAUUCGCCUUUAAGUUUACACAUACAUUGCACCGGAUCGUUGUUUAACACUUUAACUCCGUGAAAGUUACGCUUAUCUACCGGCUAAUCCCUCGGAUUAAUCGUGACCGCCAAGUUAAGGCGCCGCAACGCGCUGCAGUAAAGCACCGAUAUGUACUCCUCUAUUUUUGGCCAAACAUUUGCCUUUUUCAUCCAUAAAGUUGGGGGAAGCUUCCUUAAUUAA